rnacentral:rRNA from 1 species
UACGGGGGGAGGAGCAGUGUUCGGUGAAUCAUUGGGCGUAAAGGGCGCGUAGGUGGUUUUGUGUGUCUACCGUGAAAGCGCGCGGCUUAACCGCGUUCCGUCGGUAGAAACUGCAGAACUUGAGACUGGGAGGGGCUGGUGGAAUUCCCUGUGUAGCGGUGAAAUGCGUAGAGAUGGGGGGAGAACACUCGUGGCGAAGGCGGCCAGCUAGACCAGUUCUGACACUGAGGCGCGACAGCGUGGGGAGCAAACAGG